AACAUUAUUAAAGAACCCUUAAGUAAUACUGAGUAAUUCUAUAUAAAUAUAGAAGAUUUUAUGUUAAAACUAGUAACAAGAAGAAGAACUUCUCCUACAAUGCAUAUGUAAAUCAGACAGGACACCCCGCUGAUAAUUAACACCCAUGAACAUAAAAUAGCAACCACACAAGAAAACCCUACUAUAUUAUGUGUUAAUCUAACACCAGAGCAUUUCAAGAAAGAUUAAAAGAAAAAGAAGGAACUCGGCAAAUAUUAACCUCGCCUGUUUACCAAAAACAUCGCCUCUUGAAUAAACAUAAGAGGUCCAGCCUGCCCAGUGACCAUGUUCAACGGCCGCGGUAUCCUAACCGUGCGAAGGUAGCGUAAUCACUUGUUCUUUAAAUAAGGACUAGUAUGAACGGCACCACGAAGGUUAUACUGUCUCCUCUUUCUAAUCAGUGAAACUAAUCUCCCCGUGAAGAAGCGAGGAUAAGAAUAUAAGACGAGAAGACCCUAUGGAGCUUUAAACUAUAAAGCAAUUGCCCCCAUAUUAUUAAAUUUCAGAAAACCACUAUUACCAAGGCAAUAUGACUAUUAGUUUUAGGUUGGGGUGACCGCGGAGCAAAAAAUAACCUCCACAUUGAAAGGAGCCUACUCCUUAGCCAAGAGCCACACCUCUACGCACCAACAAAAAGACAUUAAUUGACCC
rnacentral:rRNA from 1 species